rnacentral:misc_RNA from 1 species
AUUGAUCUCUAUGUUUGCGUGGUUAAUGAUGGAGUUUUAGGUUGUCACAUUAUUUUGAGUAAUCAUAAAUGCAUUAAUUUUGUGCACGGAUUCAUUGCAAGAUAUAGAAUUUAGCUGCCUUUGUUAUUAGUAAGUAGCUUGUAGAUUAUUCCCAAUAAUCUUGUUAAUUGAAAUUUAAGGACAGUUAAUUUGGUGUGUUUCGACUAUAUGAGAGCUUAAUUGUGUUCGGUUUUACAUUUGCAAGUUAUUUUGUAUGAUUUGUCUCACAACCUGUGGUCUAACAGUUACGAUCUGUUUGGUGAUUUAUUUUUAUUAUUAUAUUUUAUUUUUGGUGUGUAAAUGGCAACAGAAUACUCACUUCUUGGAGAAUUAUCCUUUCACUCACAGCAGAAAUUGACAAGUUCAGAAUGAUGCCUCUUUUAUUCAUUAGUAGCUUUUUUCUACAGAGUGACUUUGUUAUCGCUUCUAUUGUUUUUGAAAUUUGAAUUUUUGUUUCUGAUUAUAUCGUGGGUCCGAUGUUUUUGGGAUGUAAAUGUUAAACAUCCAAUUUUGUGAUCAAUUCUCAACUUGUUGUGCAUCUGCUUACUUUAGUUUGUGAACCAGAAGCAAGUUAAUGCCAGAGCAUUUGUUUUUAUGGGGACUUCAAAUGAUCCUGAUUUAACAUUGGAUUUUAUUUGUUUUAUUUUGUUUACAUUUAGUUGCAAGA